CGUCGGCGGAUGCUAUCAGGGCCUUUUUUAAGGAUUUUCCCGUGGGGGGGCAUUUUUUGAAAAGGGACCUUUCUGUGAGAUAAUAUAUUAGAGGGGGAUAGCAAUGGCUGAAAGCCACAUGUGUGGAAAAUAUACCACGCAUGGAUGGGGGGUCUGGGGUUGUACUCCCCCAGAAAAUUUUUGAAAUUUGACUCCCCGUAAAUACUCCCGUUUGCUC